rnacentral:rRNA from 1 species
UACGGAAGGCAGCAGUGGGGAAUAUUGCACAAUGGGCGAAAGCCUGAUGCAGCUAUGCCGCGUGUAUGAAGAAGGCCUUAGGGUUGUAAAGUACUUUUCAUCGGGGAGGAAAAACAAAACUAAUAAUUUUAUUUCUUGACGUUACCCGAAAAAGAAGCACCGGCUAACUCCGUGCCAGCAGCCGCGGUAAUACGGAGGGUGCUAGCGUUAAUCAGAAUUACUGGGCGUAAAGAGCACGUAGGUGGUUUUUUUAAAGUCAGAUGUGAAAUCCCUGGGCUUAACCUAGGAACUGCAUUUUGAAACUGAAAUACUAGAGUAUCGUAGAGGGAGGUAGAAUUCUAGGUGUAGCGGUGAAAUGCGUAGAUAUCUGGAGGAAUACCUGUGGCGAAAGCGGCCUCCUAAACGAAUACUGACACUGAGGUGCGAAAGCGUGGGGAGCAAAACAGGGAUUAGAUACC